rnacentral:rRNA from 2 species
UGCAGUCGAGCGGAUGAAGAGAGCUUGCUCUCUGAUUCAGCGGCGGACGGGUGAGUAAUGCCUAGGAAUCUGCCUGAUAGUGGGGGACAACGUUUCGAAAGGAACGCUAAUACCGCAUACGUCCUACGGGAGAAAGCAGGGGACCUUCGGGCCUUGCGCUAUCAGAUGAGCCUAGGUCGGAUUAGCUAGUUGGUGAGGUAACGGCUCACCAAGGCGACGAUCCGUAACUGGUCUGAGAGGAUGAUCAGUCACACUGGAACUGAGACACGGUCCAGACUCCUACGGGAGGCAGCAGUGGGGAAUAUUGGACAAUGGGCGAAAGCCUGAUCCAGCCAUGCCGCGUGUGUGAAGAAGGUCUUCGGAUUGUAAAGCACUUUAAGUUGGGAGGAAGGGCAUUAACCUAAUACGUUAGUGUUUUGACGUUACCGACAGAAUAAGCACCGGCUAACUUCGUGCCAGCAGCCGCGGUAAUACGAAGGGUGCAAGCGUUAAUCGGAAUUACUGGGCGUAAAGCGCGCGUAGGUGGUUUGUUAAGUUGAAUGUGAAAGCCCCGGGCUCAACCUGGGAACUGCAUCCAAAACUGGCAAGCUAGAGUAUGGCAGAGGGUGGUGGAAUUUCCUGUGUAGCGGUGAAAUGCGUAGAUAUAGGAAGGAACACCAGUGGCGAAGGCGACCACCUGGGCUAAUACUGACACUGAGGUGCGAAAGCGUGGGGAGCAAACAGGAUUAGAUACCCUGGUAGUCCACGCCGUAAACGAUGUCGACUAGCCGUUGGGAUCCUUGAGAUCUUAGUGGCGCAGCUAACGCAUUAAGUCGACCGCCU